UACGUAGGGAGCAAGCGUUGUCCGGAAUCAUUGGGCGUAAAGCGCGCGUAGGCGGCCCCGUAAGUCCGCUGUGAAAGCCCCGGGCUCAACCUGGGAAUGGCAUUGGAAACUGGCUUGCUAGAGUGUGGCAGAGGGGGGUGGAAUUGCCGCGUGUAGCAGUGAAAUGCGUAGAGAUGCGGAGGAACACCGAUGGCGAAGGCAGCCCCCUGGGCUGACACUGACGCUCAGGCACGAAAGCGUGGGGAGCAAACAGG
rnacentral:rRNA from 1 species